AGGAUGUUGCAGUCAGGUUAUUUGUAUAUCAAGAGUUUUCAGAUGAUGUGAUCGUAUCCUUUAAAAUGGAGGUUUUUUGAUAUUCAUCAGGUUAUCCUUAACGAAAAAGGCUUGGACAUCCUAAUAUUUUCCUUUUCAUGGGGGCUGUAACUUCAACACCUCAGUAUCUAUGCAUUGUGACCGAGUACCUUCCCGGAACCCAUAAGAUAUCCGUGGGCCCAAACCGGAGCUGAGUAUGUCAUUGAAUCCACUGAAGUGUUUGUCGGCAAGUAUUUUUAAACAUGAAAUUUCUAUAGCCAAUGGGCUAAACACAUAAAAUAAUUUAAAUGUAGAACUGUUAAACAUAAAUCCAUUAUAUAGAAUUAUAGACUUAACGUUACAAGUUCGGUUUGGUUUCGAUUAUAUCGGUUAACCAAAGCUUCAUAACCAUAACCAUAAACGAUUGAUCGGUUAACCAAAGUUUCAUAAUCAUAACCAUCGGUAAUGUUGGUUAUCAGUUAAAAUCGGUUCGAUUAUGUCGGUUAUGGCGGUUAAUUUGUUCAUUCCUACAAGUAGGUUAUGAAUUUACAUUUAGGUAUAUAAUCAUGAUGAAUGCGUUGGUGGUUUUUGGCUUUUACUUUGUACUAAUACAAGUUUUAUACAUUUAUAGUUAAAUUAGAUGUAUAUAUGAUUCUCUGCAAAGUUUGAUUAAAAAGGUUUAUAUACCUGGUAAUCUUUUCAUUUGCAGGUGUAAGUGUUUUUUUGCCAACUCACAACUCAUUGUAACACAUAAUAUUUAAACUUUAUUGUAUUUGGCAUGUUUAAGAAGAUAGGUUAGUUGCAGUAUAAUGUCGAUGUUUUCUUGUGAUUCCAAUCUAUGAAUGUGGUUUUGCUUUUAAGACACACUUUUUAUGAAGUUGUAAAAUGGUUGUAAAUAUUUAGUAAUUAGGACUGGAUUACUUGCCAAAAGCACAAAUAAUUGUUACCGAAGUUGUUUAAUUUGUUGUAGUGUACUAACUAACUUUAUUAAUUAAUAUAUAACAGUAAUGAGGUUUAAUAACAGUUUUUCUAACCUUUAGAAAUAAUUUCGUUUAUAUUUCCGAGACGCUAUUUGUGUGUUUAAAAUGAUUACACACAAAAUUAAGCGAGGAACAACUAUACUUGCAAGGUUGAAGAUUUACAAAGGAGUUCCAACUCCUCACAACAGGAAGAAAAGAAUGGUCUUUCCUUAUGUUCUCAAGUUAGUGUAGAAUAUCCACUGAUUUAUGAAUUUGAUGUGCUUGAUAUCAGUCGAGGUGAUUUGUUACCCAUGACUUGCGGCUUUGCACUCUCUUUAAGUUAAACGCGUUCUGAUAGCUGCAAGCAUUUAACAUACAUUUUGGGUGAGCUUCAACUCAUUUAAACUGUUUCCCUUUUAGCGAUAACCCAUAAUCUAACUCUACAAAUUUGUUGAUGUUGCCACCUCUAGGUUUUACUUUUGGGAGUGUCUAUCGUUAAUUCGACUGAUUUCUUUGGGUCUAAUAUCCAUAUUAUGUUAUUUUAUAUGGUAUGCUUUCAUUUUCUAUGUUGGCUUUAGAUGUUAUUUUUUCUGAUUUUAGCUCUUAAUCUCUGAACUAUGUAGAUGUGAUGAAUAUUUGUUAAAAGUUCUUCUCAUCUAGAAACAAAUUUAAGAAAAUUCUUACUACUCAAAUUUAGUGGAAUGUGUUGGUGAUACUAAUGGUUUAAAUGUAGUUUCUCUUAAAAGCAGGUUGAAGAAACAGGCCUCAACUGUCACUUUCUCAGUUGUAGAAAAUAAUCGUUAUAUGGUUGAACCCGAGCCCAUAUAACAAAGUGCUAGAAGGAGCGUGCAUUGGUAACAAACUUAUUCUUUUGUGGACUUUUUUUGCGGGUACUACUUAUCGUUCAACAACUUUUGCAAGAGAACAGGUACGAGUCGAAAUGAGAUAUAUAUUAUAUGCAUCCUUGGGUGUUCAACAAAUAGGAUUAGCUUCUUUUGAUACAUCAAAUGUAUAUUGUUAAUUAGUUCCCAUUUUAGUUUAAGCAUUCUUAAUGUUUUUCACAUUAGCUAAAAGGUGUUGUUUCUAAGAUGUCUAGGUUAAAUUUCAAAUGAUAAAAACAAACUUUAUUGAUUUAGCUAAAAUCCGAGAUGGUUAUUUUUUUAGUUUUUAAGUAUAUACUACUUUUUUUCCGGCGAAUCGACGAGUGACUAAGCUUGGUUGGAUUUUUAGCUCAUAAAGAUCGUUUAGAAAUAAAACAAGUCCGAGUAAUCGAGAUAUAGAAGAAAGAAGAUGCAAGACAUGUGGAUAAUACACACAUGGUGUAUAAAGAAAUCUUUAACGAUUUUUUAUUUUUUUUUUGUAUUUCUUUUUUUUUCAAUUCGUUGUAAUUUAAUAUUUACCCAAGUAAAGGAAUGAUCUCAACGCCAAUAAAUAUUAUAUGCCGGUGUGAA